rnacentral:lncRNA from 1 species
AUCAAAAGCUUCCUGAUGAUUUCUUAGCCAAAGAAAAAGCUAGUGCCAUUAGAAAUUUACACAGCAAACAACAAGCUAUCAGUUAACAAACAAAAAAACGAAAAAAAAAAAACUGUUUCAACUUUUGAUUGAUAGGCAAGUCUACGAAUACUCAGAAACACAAAACCUAAUGAUGGUUUGGAUCAAGGGACCCAAUAUUUGAGAAUGAAAUGCAAGACUUUCAGAAAAGAUGUGUACAUCUGCAGGUUCUUUUGAACAUCCAAUCCAUCGAUUAACAAGUACGCAUGAAUCAAUCUAUCAUAUACAACCACAAUUUACUUAUCAAACUAACACAAGUAACCUGAUGCAAAUCACUUGACAAGCUGAGAUGCCAAAUUUCAAAGUUAACCUGCUUCCAUUAGGCAAUGAUAGAAUCAUAUAAACAACCCAUAGAUGAAUUAGGCAUGCAGUGGGAGGAAGGAAGAAAGGUUUAACAUCAACAUCAGAGCGAUCAACAGAAUAUUGGGUGGAGAUGGCAGCAAAGGUAGCUACUGCAAAAGGAGAACCGAUGAUUCUCCUGAGUUUGUUGAUCUAUUGGGAGUCUACUGGCUCGAAGUCACAGGGAAGGUUCCUUUCCAUCUACUCGGUUCUGGCACACAAUAGAAUAGCAUCUAAAGAACUCCAAAAGCAUAUGAACAGCAGUUGGGUAGCUGCACCCAACUGCUUAUUUAUUAAUCUUAAUCUGACAUCAACUGCUUUUGGUUGGGAUUCCAAUCCAGCAAUCAGCAGGCUCCAUUUACUAGGAAAUAGAAUAGCAUCUAAAGAAGCUGAACUCCAAAAGCAUAUGAACAGCAGUUGGGUAGAUACACCUGAUGGAGGACUAGAGUUCUCAGCGCCUCAAGAUAAUUCAGGAAUGCUAACAUUUGCCAUGUAUGAGAUUGAGUAUGAGGAUGGAAGAAAGGUUUGAUCACUAAGUAAAAUUAAUGCCAGAAGAUAAUAGGAUCGUUACCGUCUAGGCAACCAUAUUUCUCCUGAUGAUAUAUCAGCAAAUAAUGAAGCUUCAGCUCAAAUCUUCAAGUCCUGAACAGCUAAUGUGGAAGCCAUUUGUUCUGCAGUGACGGGCCUGUGCAACUGCAUCCAUAAAAGGGUGUAAUUAUGAUGGCAUCCAAAGGAUUGCAUUCUUUAUGUACGAUGAUGUUGAUUAGCAAGUCUUGCUAUCAUAUAGAAAUUAGCUUAAGAAAUGAACAGUUAAAACAAAAAACAACAACACUUCCUCCAGGAUCAGGGUUCUACACUUGACAACUUGUAUUUUUUGAAGUUGUGUUGUUGCUAAAGUAGGGAAUCUUACUAAAGUAGUUAUGUGAUGAAUAAGUCCUUGAACAUAUAUCAAUCUGUCAUUAUGUCAAACAAAAGGGAUUAAAGUACGAAUGUUACGUAUAGAUACUCUAAGGAAUGUAAGAAACAUAUA